CUAAAAAGACUAAAGAGUGGACAUAUUUUGGUGCGACAUUCUGCCUUCGUUCGUCCGUCUGCCCCUGCGAUCCCACGCGCGGCCAGCGGCAAUCACGCCCCCAUCACCUGCGGCAAUUGAUCCCUCCGCCCCUGAUCCUUCCCCCACGGCAAUCACGGCCCCAUCUCGCUUUCUGCUCGCAAUCCUAUCGAAAGCUCGCUCUCCAACCUCGCCUCCUGGUUCCUGCCCUGCACCUAGCAACCACCUCCGGUGCUUCGCAUCUUGCACGGCAAGCCUUCGCCUUGGCGCGCUGCUGCUCGCGUGCCGGGCUUGCGCCGCCACUGCCAUUUUCGUUGGCCCUUCCCUGCUGAUGAGGCCAAGGGCGUUGCACAGAGGAGAAGCCCACCAGUGCAUGCCACAUUGAGGAGCGGAUCUCUGGCUGUGGAGGCAGGGAAUCGCUCAAGGCUGGAUCUGUGAAGGACGGGUAACUCGGCAUCAGUGCACCGGCAGCCUCAACACCCUCGCCGUUGGCAAGGACAGCAGGCGGAUUCGACGAGGAUGAGGCCCUUCGAUUCACCUAUGAUGGCCGUGCUCGGGCAUGGGGUGGCGCUCUAAUCCGACACGAGCAGCGCGGAUUCAAUGGGGACGGAGCCCUUCGAUUCAUCCGCGAUGGCCCUACUUGGGCAUGGUGCUGCGCCGACGGCGAGAUCUAACAAAGCGGCGCAAAUCCAGCCGGAGGCCAGGGAGCGACAGGAACCCAAGAUCCACCCACCCAAGCGUAAGCAACUCAUUGCCACCGUCGCCGCCUGUGCAGCCAGAGAGCGGUUCUAUCUCCAUGUCCCCACCUCUGCCUCCACAGGUGGGAAGCUGGACAAAGAAAACAACUCUAAGUCAUGGGCGCGGCUCGUGCCUAUGGAGACAGCCGGACAGCCAGACGAAGGAGGCUGUGGUGAUUCAGCCACCUCACACACGCAGUGUGCCUUCCCUGUCGGCAGCAAUGGUUUCGUGAACAACUACUACCUGGUGCCCUUCUCCGUACAGUCUUGCUUGCCAGUUUGCCACCCAAGACUACGUCCGCAGUAGGAAAAUCCCUCAUGUACAGAAUUCGGAGAAAGAAUUAUGCCUUGAAGAAAAGGGAAAAGAAAUAAAAAAAAUGUUGACUCAAAUAGAAGCAAGAAGAUAUAUAUGGGUCGGUACGCGCCUGUCUUGUUGUCAGAGACGCUGAGAAGGGGACACAAAAUGUAGCAGCAAUAUGUUCUGCAUGCUCCGAGUAAUAUUUCUGCUCUGAAUAAAGGCAAAGACAAGCACCAAUAUCACAUUCAACCUACAUUCAUGUUUGUAAAAAAAAGUUUUAAUAUGAGCUGGAGCAUGUACUACUCCUUAUCAUCUUCUACUGCUUCUGCCAUACUUGUUUCCCAGGCAAUUGUUGCAAUGAAGGCGAUAGAGAUCACCACUUCGUUGAGGGGCUCUAAAGUAUCAGUUUUCUACCAAUUCAUGUUUUGAGGAAUAAAAUAUUAGAUACUUUUAGAAAUGCUCUUCGUUGUUGCACCGAGAGUAUAACUUACUGAAAGUACUAAGGUACAGUCAGUCAUAUUUCUCUUUUUUAACAUAAUCUGAAUGUUAUAUACAAGACCGUAGCUAAGUAUAUAUACAGGAGUCCUGAGCUGCCCUUCA